AUUCAUACUUCGUGAUACCGUGAUCACGAAGGCGGUUCUCCCGGGGCGAGGCUUAUCCAUUGCACUCUGGCUGUGCUGACCCCUGCGAUUUCCCCAAAUGUGGGAAACUCGACUGCAUGAUUUGUGGUAGUGGGGGACUGCGUUCGCACUCUUA
rnacentral:snRNA from 1 species